rnacentral:lncRNA from 1 species
AGCGCGAAGAAGGCGGCCAUGAGUCCGUUGCAGGCCCGCCACAGCGCUGGCGCCAUGGCUCGGAGAACACGGCGCGGGGCGGUGAGUCCUGCCACGUGCGGGGCGGUGUGGUCAGCUACUCCGGAAUGUGGCAGGGGUGGAGGCCGGACAAAGUCUGAAACAGGGUCAUCACCAUAGCACCUGACAUACCUGGAUAUAAACAAUAUCCAAGGCCCCUAAGGUAAAAGCCUUGCUCCAAGUCCCCUUCUGACUUCUAGUCACUUCCGUGCUGCCAGCAGAGGGCGUGGGAUUCUUCCUGAGGAGCCUGAGUCUCAGCUUUGCCAGGUCCUUGCUGUGUGACCUUGGGCACCUGUGCUCCCUUGACAAAGAGGAAUAAAACCUCUUCAGACUACUCUCCUAUCGAUUCUCUCCUGGAACAUAUGACCACCAUCAAUUAUAGGCAAGAACAUGAACACGGGAGUCCCAAAGACUUGGGUUCAAAUGUCAGCCCCUUCACUCGCUGGCUGUAGGUGUGAGGCCCUGGGUAAGGUCCUUACCUCCC